rnacentral:rRNA from 1 species
AACGAACGCUGGCGGCAGGCUUAACACAUGCAAGUCGAACGGGUGCAGCAAUGCAUCAGUGGCAGACGGGUGAGUAACACGUGGGAACCUUCCUCGGGGUACGGAACAACUCAGGGAAACUUGAGCUAAUACCGUAUACGUCCGUGAGGAGAAAGAUUUAUCGCCCUGAGACGGGCCCGCGUCGGAUUAGCUAGUUGGUGGGGUAACGGCCUACCAAGGCGACGAUCCGUAGCUGAUCUUAGAGGAUGAUCAGCCACACUGGGACUGAGACACGGCCCAGACUCCCACGGGAGGCAGCAGUGGGGAAUCUUGGACAAUGGGCGCAAGCCUGAUCCAGCCAUGCCGCGUGAGUGAAGAAGGUCUUCGGAUUGUAAAGCUCUUUUGCCAGGGACGAUAAUGACGGUACCUGGAGAAUAAGCCCCGGCAAACUUCGUGCCAGCCGCCGCCGUAACAC